UUUAGCCUUUUGUGGUCAACCAACAAGCCUGGGUUCUGCUCAUCUUUAUCUUACUAAUAUGUUAUUGUGUGGACUUAAUUAGUAUAUGAUGGUGUGCACCUUUAAGUCAUUUGGUGACCUUAAUGGGAUCAUGUAAUCGAAUGCUUAAGCCUUUCGUUGUGGAAACUUGAUGUUUUAUUUGUGUGGCUAUGCUUUCAACAGACUUGGGAGUUAGUCAUAGCUCUGCACGUAUAUGUUUCUGCCAUGUAGAUAAUUGCCCUACUUCCUACGGGUGGUGAUUUUUUUUUCAAAAAAGUGGAUAGCCCUGGCCUCUCCACUAUCAUGACACACACAACCGUAAUUUUUGAAUGUGCAAGAGUUUUACAAAGAAGCCUCAGUAGCAAUAAAAAUAAAAAGAUAGGUGGUGAGUUAUGGACUGCCUGUUUAGAGAAUUUCAAAAGCAGAGUGGCGUAGCGUAGCAUAAAGGUACAUGAACAUUUCAUCAGUUUUCAGCGAGUGUAAUUGUUCCUUUUCAGCAAGUUGUGUAGGGAAUUCCUAUAUGCCCUUUUGGUUAUCUACUUCCCCCGUUUCAUUUGUCCAAAUGCGUGCUUUAUGCUACAUAAAAUUUAUUCACUGGAUUGUAUUAACUCAUUGUGAUCUUGUCGACUUUUAACCAAAUAUAUGUCACAUCAAAUUUAUGGCCAUAAACUGUCUCACCUCAGUUUUAAUAGAGCUAGGCUGAACUCCGACCAAUUCUCAACUCCUGGUCUCACCUACCAGAAUCAUGAGCUGUGAAGAGGCAGUCUCACAACAGUGGUGCUGUUUGCAUAUCACCAGCGAUCCUGCGACUGGUGUUGUGGAGCGUCAUUGCGUGCUGCGGUCGCGUCGUGCUACGAGAGUGUCCCAUAAAAUCACUACGGAAACCUCUAAGUCGCCUACUGCUGCAAGGGAUGAGGACAGGUACUUGCCAAGAGGUCACCAGAUGCGCGGGGAAGUGUCACUGGUACGAGGCCGGUGCCACGAUCGAGAAGAGGCGGGCUCUCAGCAGUGCCGCUGUUUACGAAGAGGUGGCCUCGCAGCAGUGCCACUACGACCUGUGUUGUCGAACAUCACCAGGUGUUGCGGUCAUGUCGUGUGCAGUGGUUGCCCAUAGUGCUGCCAUGGCAUCGACUGCAAUGCCAGCAAAGUUGCGUGGCCUCGGCUUCAACACUGUCAAUGCUACAAUGUCAUCGACUGGCACCAUCGGCAAAUAGAUGAUGCUGGUUAUGGUGUACGAUAUGGGUUAACAGCCAAAGAUGCAGUGUGGCGCUGCUGCUACGGUCCAGCGACAUUAUUGGGUUGCUCCUACAUAGAGAACUACAACUAAUGUCGAGACUUGGGCAGGUCUUUUUCUGGCAUGAUACGUGGUCUGAAGGCGAGGCACAACCAAUACCAUAUCAUGACCCGAGGUAUGAUGGGCCGGGCUAAGAAAUUAAGUAAGCGAACGGUAUGACCCAAUAUGAGAUAGUGCGCUGGCCCACAUCACAGGCCACAACCCACAACACACAAACCCACAGAUCUCCCUCUCCCCCCCUCUCUCUCCCUCUCCCCCUCUCUCCCUCUCCCCCUUGGAACUGUCUAUGUUUCGCUUGCUGCGAGAUGCCGGGAGCUCGCUUCUGGUGAUCUUGUACUGGGCCGGCCCAUUAGUUGUUAUCAAACCUUAGUUAGUUCGUCCAUUUUCUUUCUUUCUUUUGUUUCUUUUUUUUGUUACUUUUUCAAAAAGCAUUGAGCAAGCAUUCAAAAUUGAGAGAAGAGUAUUAUUUACUAAAGAUUCGCCCCAUUAUGAUGGAAUUCUCUCAUCAUAAGUAUGACAGGUUGAUCUUGAUCUUAACGUGUUCUGGGGACUUGGUACGCCAAGAUGUUGUUCUAUAAAACAUCUUUAGAAAACACACAUAUACAAGUUAGACUGCUAAAUAUGAGAGUUGGGCUCUCUGUAGUAAACUGAUGAAGAGGCACUAGAAUAUGUCAUACAAGCUCCUACCCACGGAAAAGUCAUUUGGCAAACUAGUAUCGAUCAAGGCUUUACAUAAAACUUGUUUGCACAAAACUUGCAGUUCAAAGCAUAGUCCACUAUUAAAGUUGUUUUUUUGCGGGUACACUAUUCAAGUUGUUAAUGAGUGUUGUUUGGAGUUCUAGUCAAAAGUUAAAAUUAACAGUUCACCUAAAUACCGGUAUAUACAUAAGCAAUGUUUUGAAACCACGGGUAAACUCUAUGUGCCUCUAAAUAAGAUCUGGCGGGGAAUUGUUGGAAUCAUUGGGCUUUUAGCCAUUUACCAUGUCCAAUUAGUCCUAAAAAUCCCAUAGGCCUGUAUGGCCGAUUCUUGCAUGAAAAUGGGAGUGAGGAAAGUUUAGUCCCUUCCCUAUUAUAGAGGGUGUAUUGGACCAACAUGUAAAGUUGACACCUUCACACGCCGCUAAGAGAUUGAGAAUAGGACAUAUACACACGCGCUCCUACCCACCUCGCGAUGGAAUGCCUUGCACACGCGUCAUGUUUCAUGAUUGAGCCGAGCCAGUCUAGGACCUAUGCCACUUGUGUGUCCUGUCCUCUUUUUGUCACAUAAGAAAGAAACUGAAACACUUUUGCACUCGUGAAAAACGAAACCAAACUGUUGUGGACUGUUCCCCUUCGUAUCCCCAUUACUAUUCAGUUUCGCUUCAUCUAGUCUGUGAGAAGUCAAUCUUAUUCCAUAGACAAAGUCACUUCCUCUCCUUUGUCCAUGCCUCCUGGUUCCCAAGCAUUGCGCCACCUACGGUUUUCCCACCUCGCUCCUCAACGUACGUCACAAAGUGAGACAGUAGGCCUCCAGAACCCCGUCUUGUGAUCCUAUACGGGAGAGGGUGAUCAGGUUUUUGGCGAGCGUUCUCAUGUGACUGCUGGAUUCUUCUCCACGGUGCCUGCACACAAUGACCUCCUCAACGUCCACGACCUCCUCAGGGAUAUGGCGACUGGUGCGCCUAUCUUCCACGACACUGUAUGUGUUCUUACCCUUUUGUUUGAGAUCGCUUGAGGAAUUCUCAUAGUAGAAAUUGAUCUGUUGAUGUUACUUUUAUCAUAUACUAGCCAGGUGGCCCUCGCAAAUGCAAGGGCAUGAUCUUUAGCACGUUCUGAAAUGUGAAGUGUUUCUUUUUAUCUUAAGAAAAUAUGCCACUAUUGAAUGCAAUUGGCAUCGUUAUAAACACUAAAGUGUGCUAUAACUACUUGGUAUGACCACUAUAUUAUUUGCUUAAUUUAGAACUUUAUUAGUUCAUAGAAUGAGCCAAACAACAUUAAAGCAUACUAUUUUGCAUAUUAGUUCACUGGGCGCAUGUGAAAAAGAAAAGAGAAAAAAUAUGGAAUGGUACGCUGAACUAGGACCAAUCAUAGACUAAUUAAAUACAUAUUUUAAAGUAUUAUAUAAAAGAUCUAUAUUAAAUACAUGAAUUAUCUAGUUGCAGUGGAUUUCCUCAUUAGUUGCUUUAUCCCACAAAUUUUGCCAAAAAUGUAAUAUAGAUGGCAAGUAAGUCACACCUGUACGUUGUAAUUUUUAAGUUCUAAUAAUCCAUUGAACUUGAUGACUUUGAAAUUCAUACCUGUCACGCGUCUAAACUUCCAUGUAUCCUGGUUGGAGUGGAAUGAUUCUAGCCACUAUACAAUAUUUCUAGCAUAGCUCAUAGGUAAAAAAAGAACUGCAGAAAAAUGCUACAAUGGUCAAUUAGUGCAUCAGUCUUCUCGGAAUCAUUGACUCCUCACUAUACACGGUUACAUAUUCUGGCAACCCUUUUUAUUUCCGUCACACUGAGAUGACCUUUACACGGUUACAUAUUCUGGCAACCCUUUUCUGUUAACCGUAUGUGACCUUUACUGGAUGAUAUAAUUUCUGUGGAGCAAAGUGCUUUUAUUCCGGGAAGGAUGAUCACUGAUAAUGCCCUAGUGGCUUUUGAAUGCAUACAUCACAUCAAGCAGGAAAAGGACCCAACGAAAAGUUUUUGUGCAUAUAAAUUUGAUUUGUCUAAAGCCUAUGAUAGGGUGGACUGGGUAUUCUUGGAGCAGGUGAUGCAUAAGUUGGGUUUCUCUCAACGGUGGGUGGACUGGAUAAUGUUUUGUGUCACAUCGGUGAGAUAUUCUGUCAAAUUAAAUGGGACCCUCUUGGAUUCAUUUGCACCGUUGCGUGGUCUUCGGCAAGGCGACCCUCUUUUCCCUUUUUUGUUCCUCUUUGUGGCUGAUGGUUUAUCUGCAAUUCUGAAGCAUAGUCUUUCUUGUGGUGAUAUAACUCCUAUUAAGGUGUGUAGAAGGGCUCCGGGCAUCUCACAUCUAUUAUUUGCGGAUGACACUUUGCUAUUCUUUGAGGCUUCACUAGCACAGGCUGAAAAGGUGAAGCAAGCUUUGGAUCUAUAUGGUGCAGCUACUGGUCAAAGUUUAAAUUUUAACAAGUGCUCAAUUUUGUUUGGAAGUACUUGCCCUGCUGCUGUCCACGAACAAGUUCGGGGUGCACUAAACGUGACUAGCUUGGUUUUCGAAGAGAAGUAUCUAGGGCUUCCAACUCCAGACGGUCGCAUGUCGAAAGGCCGCUUCCAAAACCUUCAGAUGAGUUUGACCAAACGGCUUUUACAGUGGGGUGAUGGUUUUCUAGCACAGCCUGGCAGAGAAACUCUUAUUAAAUCUAUAGCCCAGGCAUUACCCACCCACAUUAUGGGUGUGUUCAAAUUACCAUUCUCUCUGUGUGAUGAAUUAACUAGGAUGGUAAGGAGUUUUUAUUGGGGCUCUGCUAAGGGGAAAAAGAAAAGUACACUGGUGAGCUUGGGAUGAUCUUCUACAACCAAAAGAUAAAGGUGGUGCUGGUUUCCGAGAUUUUCGGCUCUUUAAUCAAGCCCUUCUGGCUAGGCAAGCUUGGAGGUUAAUUGUUAAGCCAGAAAGUCUAUGUGCACAGGUACUGAAGGCCCGGUACUAUCCGAAUGGUAAGAUUGAGGACACGGUCUUCACGGGGAAUGCAUCUUCCUCUUGGCAAGCAGUGAGUUAUGGACUUGAGCUUUUGAAAAAAGGAUUGAUAUCGAGAGUGGGCAACGGGAGGAGUAUCCGUGUGUGGCGUGACAAUUGGAUUCCCAGGCCCUUCUCAUACAAACCUAUUACUGUCCAAGGAAGAUGUCGCAUUAGAUUUGUCUCUGAAUUGUUGAAUGUAAACGACUCUUGGAAUUAUGGUCUGUUGCAAAAUUAUUUCAUGACGGCCGAUGUAGUUGAGAUUAUUAAGAUUCGAGCUUCACCUAGGCAGGAGGCCGAUACAAUUGCUUGGGGACCAGGCAAGUAUGGAGUUUUUACAGUAAAAAGUGCUUAUCAAUUAGCCUUUGAAGAGGUGUACAGAGAUACUGCUACAGGGUCUAGUUCUAGACCGGAUGGACGCCGUGAUUGCUGGAAGUUUAUUUGGGCUUGUGAGGUUCCUCCUACAGCUUGCAAUUUUGCAUGGAGAUUAGCGACGAACUCGUUGCCCACGUGGCAGAACAAACACACUAGAGGGCUGGAAAUAGAUGAUUUAUGUCCUGUGUGUUCGGUUGAGACUGAGGAUAAAAAAUUUGGAUACAUGACAUGAACAUAAUAAUAUGUAUAUAAUUUAAGCGUAUCAUAAUCAUGAACAUAAUAAAAAUACACCCGAUCAACACAAAUAUAUAUGGGGUCGGGGUGUGGUGUCAGGGUGUCGGGUUGUCGGGGUCGGGGUGUCAUGGUGUCAGGGUCGGGGUCGGGGUGUGGGUCAGGGUGUGGUGUCAGGGUGNNNNNNNNNNNNNNNNNNNNNNNNNNNNNNNNNNNNNNNNNNNNNNNNNNNNNNNNNNNNNNNNNNNNNNNNNNNNNNNNNNNNNNNNNNNNNNNNNNNNNNNNNNNNNNNNNNNNNNNNNNNNNNNNNNNNNNNNNNNNNNNNNNNNNNNNNNNNNNNNNNNNNNNNNNNNNNNNNNNNNNNNNNNNNNNNNNNNNNNNNNNNNNNNNNNNNNNNNNNNNNNNNNNNNNNNNNNNNNNNNNNNNNNNNNNNNNNNNNNNNNNNNNNNNNNNNNNNNNNNNNNNNNNNNNNNNNNNNNNNNNNNNNNNNNNNNNNNNNNNNNNNNNNNNNNNNNNNNNNNNNNNNNNNNNNNNNNNNNNNNNNNNNNNNNNNNNNNNUCUUCUUCUUCUUCUUCUUCUUCUUCUUCUUCUUCUUCUUCUUCUUCUUCUUCUUCUUCUUCUUCUUCUUCUUCUUCUUCUUCUUCUUCUUCUUCUUCUUCUUCUUCUUCUUCUUCUUCUUCUUCUUCUUCUUCUUCUUCUUCUUCUUCUUCUUCUUCUUCUUCUUCUUCUUCUUCUUCUUCUUCUUCUUCUUCUUCUUCUUCUUCUUCUUCUUCUUCUUCUUCUUCUUCUUCUUCUUCUUCUCCUUCUUCUUCUUCUUCUUCUUCUUCUUCUUCUUCUUCCUCUUCUUCUUCUUCUUCUUCUUCUUCUUCUUCUUCUUCUUCUUCUUCUUCUUCUUCUUCUUCUUCUUCUUCUUCUUCUUCUUCUUCUUCUUCUUCUUCUUCUUCUUCUUCUUCUUCUUCUUCUUCUUCUUCUUCUUCUUCUUCUUCUUCUUCUUCUUCUUCUUCUUCUUCUUCUUCUUCUUCUUCUUCUUCUUCUUCUUCUUCUUCUNNNNNNNNNNNNNNNNNNNNNNNNNNNNNNNNNNNNNNNNNNNNNNNNNNNNNNNNNNNNNNNNNNNNNNNNNNNNNNNNNNNNNNNNNNNNNNNNNNNNNNNNNNNNNNNNNNNNNNNNNNNNNNNNNNNNNNNNNNNNNNNNNNNNNNNNNNNNNNNNNNNNNNNNNNNNNNNNNNNNNNNNNNNNNNNNNNNNNNNNNNNNNNNNNNNNNNNNNNNNNNNNNNNNNNNNNNNNNNNNNNNNNNNNNNNNNNNNNNNNNNNNNNNNNNNNNNNNNNNNNNNNNNNNNNNNNNNNNNNNNAGGGGAGGGGUGCGGUGCGGCCGGCUACGGCAGACGGGGUCAGCGGCGGCGGCGCGGGUGUGGGUGGGGAGGGAAUGAGAGAGUGGAGAGAAGAGACAGAGGACGGGGGCGGGACGGCCGUUAACGUACCCGCCUCUUUGCCGUCAGCCAACGGUCGGCAAAGAUUCUUUGUCGUCCGCUUGCGGACGACAAAGAGGUGGGGCCGGUGGGCUUGAGUUGGUUAAACAAUAACUGGACCCACCCACCUCUUUGCCGUCUGCUAGCGGACGUCAAAGAUUCUUUGCCGUCAGCCAGCGGACGACAAAGAAUUGGCUGAUGGCAAAGACCUUGUUUGCCAUCAGCCACAUCUUUGUCGUCCGUUUUCGUGUGGCUGACGGCAAAGACCUUCUUUGCCGUCAGCCAGCGGACGGCAAAGAGUUGGUAGACGGCAAAUAAGCUAAUUCCAGUAGUGCGUGGUAUCCCUUGUUUUCCUGUCCUGAAAGGUUACUUAGAGCGGGCCAAUCGUUGAUGGUUACAAACAACAACGCGUGCAGGUUAAAUUCCUCCUGUUUGUGCUCAUCCCACACACGUACACCGUUCCAUUCCACAGCUGUAAAUGUUUUUCAACUAAUGGCCUUAGGUACACAUCAAUAUCGUUGCCGGGUUGCUUAGGGCCUUGGAUGAGAACUAGCAUCAUAAUGAACUUCCACUUCAUGCACAUCCAAGGAGGAAGGUUAUACAUACAUAGAGUCACGGGCCAGGUGCUGUGAUUGCUGCUCUGCUCCCCGAAAGGAUUAAUGCCAUCCACACUUAAACCAAACCAUACGUUCCUUGGGUCACCUGCAAACUCAGCCCAGUACUUUCUCUCGAUUUUUCUCCACUGCGACCCGUCAGUGGGUGCUCUCAACUUCCCGUCUUUCUUACGGUCCUCUCUGUGCCAUCGCAUCAACUUGGCAUGCUCUUCGUUUCUGAACAGACGUUUCAACCGUGGUAUUAUAGGAGCAUACCACAUCACCUUCGCAGGAACCCUCUUCCUGGGGGGCUCGCCGUCAACAUCAUCAGGGUCAUCUCGUCUGAUCUUAUACCGCAAUGCACCGCAUACCGGGCAUGCGUUCAAAUCCUCAUACGCACCACGGUAGAGGAUGCAGUCAUUAGGGCAUGCAUGUAUCUUAUGCACCUCCAAUCUUAGAGGGCAUACGACCUUCUUUGUUGCGUACGUACUGCCGGGCAAUUCGUUAUCCUUUGGAAGCUUCUUCUUCAAUAUUUUCAGUAGCUUCUCAAAUCCUUUGUCAGGCACAGCAUUCUCUGCCUUCCACUGUAGGAAUUCCAGUACGGUACCGAGCUUUGUGUUGCCAUCUUCGCAAUUGGGGUACAACCCUUUUUUGUGAUCCUCUAACAUGCGAUCGAACUUCAGCUUCUCCUUUUGACUUUCGCACUGUCUCCUUGCAUCAACAAUGACCCGGAAGAGAUCGUCAUCAUCGGGCACAUCGUCUGGUUCCUGAUCUUGAUCUUCAGCAGCUUCCCCCGUUGUAUUAUCACCGUAUUCACGGGGCAUAUAGUUGUCAUUGUCCUCUUCUUCUUCGCUGUCUUCCAUCAUAACCCCUAUUUCUCUGUGCCUCGUCCAAACAUUAUAAUGUGGCAUGAAACCCUUAUAAAGCAGGUGGGUGUGAAGGAUUUUUCGGUCAGAGUAAGACUUUGUAUUCCCACAAUUAGGGCAUGGACAACACAUAAAACCAUUCUGCUUGUUUGCCUUAGCCACUUCGAGAAAAUUAUGCAGGCCCUUAAUGUACUCGGAGGUGUGUCUGUCACCAUACAUCCAUUGCCGGUUCAUCUGCGUGCAUUAUAUGUAAUUAUGUGUGUCAAAAGUAAGAAAAUUAGACAAGUAUCUAUCUAAAGUAAGAAUUUUUUUCUUUCAGAAAGAAGAUAAGAAGAAGAGGCUCACCACGGUGGUGUCGGCGACGAGAUCGGCGCAGGCGAUCGACGGCGGUGAAGACGGGGACGGGACGUGACGGACCGCUAAACCUAGACAAAUCUCGGGAAAAAUGGAGCUCAGAGGUCGAGUUCGAGAAAGCUUAACUAGUGUGGCUCGAGCAUUUCAUCGAACACCUCAUGUGCAUAGGAGGUGAGCUAGAGCACCCAAAUGCCCUCCCCUCGCCGGCCAGAAAAAACAGAGCACUGUGGAGUGCUCUGCCGCGGCGAUGGGCUAUAUAUAGGCAACUCAUUUGUCCCGGUUCGUGGCUGGAACCGGGACUAAAGCCCCGCCUUCUGUCCCGGUUCGAGCCACGAACCGGGACCAAUGGAUGUGGGCCAUGAGCGAGGCCCAUUGGUCCCGGUUCAUGCCAGGAACCGGGACAAAUGGGUCCAGACGAACCGAGACCAAUACCCACGAGGCCCCGGCCGUCCCCCUGGGCUCACGAACCGGGACGUAUGCCCCCCAUAGGUCCCGGUUCUUGACUGAACCGGGACUAAUGGGCUGGCCAGGCCCGAACCAAAGCCCUGUUUUCUACUAGUGCAUGAAAACCCAGCCUACUACAAUGAUUUCAUGGAGGGUGUGACCAACGAGGGCGGCCAAGUGUACGACGAAGACGAGACCCGAAUCCAAGACGGCCGCGACGAAGGGCCAGAGGACAUGGACGUUCACGACCAGGGCCAAGAAUACACCUACGAACACGACAUCCAAGGGUAUAAAGGUGAUGUGGCAAUCGAUGGCCAAGACCAAAGCCAACGAGUUGAGCUUGGAAAGAUAUCGAAAGAAGUGGAGAUCAUGAUGAUAUAUAGACUUGAGCCAGAUGUCGCCAAAGAGAAGAGGUUGGUUCGAGAAGAAGCAAAAGGAGGUGCUCGAGAUAGAUGGAUGAACUAUGGCAGAGAUGUGAAUUUUUGUAUGUCUGCAUAUGUGCCGGCAUGAUCUACGGCCGAGAUGCACCAACUAUGGUCAUGAGAGGAGGUUUUUGUGUGUGCUGGCACAUGAGCCGAUCAUUAGCACUUACGCCAGCAUGAACUACGACCAAGAGAGGCCCUUUUUUGCCGACAUGUAUGCCAGCCGCUGGCACAAUCAUUAGAAGGAACUAUAGACAAUUCUAUAUUCGUAUCUACUUGAGUACACCCCCUUAAAACACAUGGAUGACCCAAAUUAUCCGAUACCCCUCGUUAGCAAGGGCAUGAUGGUCAUAUUUGUAAAAGUGACCCGCCCUGGGACGCACACUAUUUAUACAUAUCGUACGUCCGAGCCGCGAGGCGGUUUUUUUCAUCCGCGGGGGUGGUGUGACUUGUUUUAUUCGUGAGCGACGGACCGACUUGUUUUUGAGAAAGUCCCAGGUAGUCAGUACUACUGCAGAACUAGGCCCGGUUCGGGUGGAGUCUGAAACAUAUUUGCAACUUCUGGCUGAGGCUCUGGACUUGCGCAAGGUGGAUUCCUCGGCGUAUGCGGCUGUUAUUGAGGACUUGGAAUAACAACUGAAGCUUUGGUUCUCUAAAUUCUCUAUCUCUGUAUGUAACUAGGCGUAGUGCAAACUCUGUUGCUCACGAGCUGGCCAGUCUUGACCGUAUGUGUGUACCUGAACACUGUAUGGAGUGGGAGUCGGAUGUACCUGCCCAUGUGGGCGAAUGUGUCUUGGACGAUCUGCCCAAACACCGUUAAAUAAUAAAGCUAUGCUGUUUAAACAAAUAUAAUAGUAUUACCUCCAUUUUGAUCUUGCAAUAAAAUGGUAAUAUGUAAAUAAGAAAGUGUUAAAAUGAGACAUACAAAUGGUGCAUUAUGCCCAUAAUAUUUCCGUAAAUUGUGAUCCUAUUAACACGUCAACAGUCCCCUAAACAUUCAUUAUUUUCUCAUAUACAAGCUAAAUGUCGGUGAGUUGCCACAUGCUAAUGAAAAAUGCAUAGACACAUUGACAUGGGAGGCCAGUGGCAACCUGAAUAUAUCCCUAGUCACUAAUAAGCUCCAUCUGCAGCCCACACACCAUUCACCACUAGAAGGGACGCUUGUCGUUCUUCUCUUCCUCAUCCUCCCCUACAGAUCACCUAUUCCUAGGCUCUUCGCCAACCCAUUUUGUUGGGACCAACCAACACCACAUCAACAUCAAUGUGUUCAUCAGCAACGCAUCUUCUUCCUCAUUCCUCGCCAGCUUUAGUUCUGUUCCUACUUAUUUUCUAGAAUACUCUUCCUAUUUUUCCUAUUCUCCAAUAGCAUGGACCACUUGGACGCUUUAGUUUUUUUCCAUCUUAUUUCUUGGAAGACUCUUCCCUUCUACAACACCAUGAACCACCUGGCCAUUAUAGUGUUGUGUUGAUAUGUUUCCUUCCCCAAGUGAUCCACCUGCUACUCUUCCUCAAACAAUUGCUGCUCUUCCUCCUCUUCCCCAGAUUUCAACAAUCUGUCGGGAAAUAUGUUGAAGCAACGGGAUACAUUGAGCCGGAAAACAUCGUGCAGGCCCAUGACAUUCAGAUUACAGUAAAAAUUCUAGUAAUUUAGCAUGCAAUUUCCCAUCCAUCAUUUGUAUAUUAUUACCCCUUUUCCCUGUUGAGAACAUAUGAAACUAAAUUUCCAUUUCCCCUAACUAUGAUUGAAGCUGUCAUCCCUCAUAAAUCAAAGUGGGGGAACAUGUGGGGCAACACUGUUAGACAAAUACGCCUCGGGAAACAAAUCAUGUUAAAAAACUGCAAGUAUUACAUGCAUAUCUCUAACAUAUUAAAAAACCAAGUUCUGGAGCAAUUGAUAUAGAGUAGUAUACAUACAUCAUGCAAAUGACAAGAUAAAUAUUUUAAAAUUUACGAAGGUGUUGAUUGGAGAUAGGCUGCUAAAGGAAUUGAGAGUAGAGUCGAUAUGCGUGUGUGGGUUCCCAAUAUUGGGGUUUUAACUCUUUUUAUUUGCACACUGGUGGGAUCAAACGAGAGGGUGUUUUUCAACCCUUAUGUGGUGUUACGAAGCGAAGCGGAAACGAACACGACAUACAGACUAUCAUUUAAUAGUAGGGACAACAGAGGUUUAUUAAUAGAGGCAUCCACUAUAUUUUAGAUUUUGUUGAGAUUUAAUUUGAUUUGAGUAUGGAUAGAAGAAAGCAAGGCAAGUUUUUAUUAUAAAGUUGAUGUUUUGGUAAGAUUUGAUUUGAUUUGGGUAUGGGGAGUGGAGGGCAAGGAAAGUUUGGAUUUAGUUGAGAUUUUGUUAAGGUUUGAUUUGAUUGAGUUAAUGCAUGACAUUGUUUUGGGAAAGUGCCGAUUUAGUUGGAUUUUGUUUGGUGAAAGUGUCCAUUCUGAUAGUAUUCCAAUCAAAAAAUAAUAGCUUGGUCAUAGAAAAAUGAAACAGAAAAAAGAAAACAAAAAUAAUGAAACAUAGGGAAAAAAAGAAUCCGCGCAUGCUUCAAAUAGGCUGGCCCAACUUUGAUUAUAGUUGAUGUUUUGAUAAGAUUUGAUUUGAUUGGAUAUGAGUAGCAGAAUGCAAGAAAAGUUUGGAUUUUGUUGAGAUUUUGUUAAGAUUUGAUUUUAUCGAGUUAAUGCAUGUUGUAGUUUUGAGAAAGUGCUGAUUUAGUUUGAUUUUUUCUAGAGUGCUGAUUCUGAAAGUAUGCCGACCAUAAAAUAAUCGGCUGAUCAUAGAAAAAAUGAAACUGAAAAAAAGGAAACCAAAAAUAAAACAUAAAAAAAUGCGCGCACACGCCAAAUGGGCCCGGACCAACUUGGUUGAAGUUUCAGCGAAAGGUCAACUAUAUGAAGCGUCAUAUCAGAUUUGCCGAGAGGUUGGUGGGAGAUGAGGCGACGCUACCAACUCUCGUUUAGGAGUAGAGAUGGGCCGAUCCAACUUUGAUUAUAGUUCAUGUUUUGGUAAGAUUUGAUUUGAUUGGGUAUGAGUAGUGUAAUGCAAGGAAAGUUUGGAUUUAGUUGAGAUUUUCUUAAGAUUUGAUUUGAUUGAGUAUGGCGUUGUUCUGGGGAAGUGUUGAUUUGGUAUGAUUUUUUUGGGGAAAGUGCCGAUUCUGAUAUUAUGCUGAGCAGAAAAUAAUAGGUUGGCCAUGAAAAAAAUAAAACAGAAAAAAUAGGAAGCUGAAAAUGAAACAUAGAAAUAAAGGAAAUGUAAAAAUAGGCGUCAAAUGUGUUGGGCAACCUUGGCUGGAGCUUCAACGAAAGGUCACCUGUAUGACGCUCGCAGGCGUCAUGUCGGUUUUGCCGAGGGGUUGGUGGGAGGGGAGGAGACUCUACCAACUCUCUCUUUAGGAGUAGAGAAAAAUGGCCGGGCCAACUUGGCUGAAGCUACAGCGAAAGGUCGCCUGUAUAACGCCCGCGGGCGUCAUAUCAGGUUUGCCGAGGGGUUGGUGGGAGGUAAGGCGAUGCUACCAACUCCCACUUUAGGAGUAUAGAUUAAUGCAUGACGUUGUUUUGGGAAAGUGCCGAUUUGGUUUGAUUUUUUUAGGAAAGUUUGGAUAGUAUACCAAGUAUAAGAUAAUAGUUUAAUCAUAGAAAAAGUGAAACGAAAAAAAGAAACAUAGAAAAAUGAGAAAUAAAAACGUGCGCACGUGUCAAAUGGGAUGGGCCAACUUGGCUGGAGCUUCAGUGAAAGGCCACCCGGGUGGCUCUCACGGGCAUCAUAUCGGGGUUUCCGAGAGAUUGGUGGGAGGUGAAGCGACUAUCAACUCCCCCUUUAGGUGUAGAGAUUGCAAUCGUGAUAUGAACAUUCGAUGCGUCCAGAUCUGUCCCAAUAUUUGAAACGUUGGCCAAUUAAUAUUUGCAGUAAUAUAAUCUUCUUACCGUCAUUUUAGUUUGCGCCAUUUUAGUCUCGCAAUAAAAUGAUAAUACGUAAAUAAAGGUGUGUUAAAAUGAGACGUAUAAAUGGUGCAUUAGGCCCACACUAUUCCUAUAAAUCGUGAUCGUAUUAAAGCGCUAACGGUCCCAUGAUCACUCAUUGUUCCCUCAGAUUGCAAUCUUGGGAUGGUGAUUGGACGGCAGCCGAUAAGUUUGGAUUUGUCCCAAUAUUUAGAACGUUCGCCAAUUCACAUUGGCGGUAAAAUAAUAGUAUUGCUGCAUUUUUGGCCUCGCAAGAAUUUGUUAAUAUGUAAAUAAAAAGGUGUUAAAUUUUUUUAUUUUAUUUAGAAGUGUUCAAAUUGGUCCCCCAAAACGUGGCACAAUACGAGUAACGGCUCAAUAAAGUCGCUCCAGCUGUUGACAAUGAAUAUAUAGGAGGCCCGUCCUUUCGUUCCCAAAUCAAAACCCCUGCUCGCAGAGGACUCUCCAUGGCUUCUCCCCUUCCCACGCAUGGCCAGGGUCCAAUCCCCGGCGACACACAAGCCUCUGCUGGAGGCUUCCACACCUUCCCGUCUCUCGCCGACCAGGGCACUAAGUUCUCAAAGGUACAUCUCAUUAUCUCGCGUUAGGGCUUUUGUUAGAUCUGUAUUGUCCGACUCUGGUCUAAAAACUGCAAACGUGUAUGGAUACUUGGAUCCCAUGCGCACUUCUUUGCUGCAUGCUUUUGCAUCUGUUAACGGGGGCAUGAUUGGGGGUAGGUGGGUUGUUAACGUUUUGUUAUUCUUCCAGAUCGCAACUUCGCCUAACCAUUUUUUUUUCUUUUUGAUAAAGAUGGUCGAUUUGAAAUUGUUUCUUCACUUGAUCUAAUCUUGCUAAUGGAGUUUUUUUACCCGAUCUAAAAAUUAAAAAUGUUUUGCAAUACUUGCCUCCGAUGUUCAUCUCAGCAUGUUUUUUUAUUUUUUGAAUCCACCUCAGCAUGUUCUUAAGAAACAAUUGGCACCGCUAUUUUCCCGAUUGAAGCUCUACUUAACUUAUUUGUAUUUCUUGCUGAUCCGAGCUGCAUACUGGUGUUGUGAAAAAUAUAAAUCUUCAGUAAUAUGUGCAUAGUUAGCUCCGAUUUCCACUCGCUUGACCAUAUACAUGAAUAAAAUGUUAUUUGUUCAAAUAUACCUACUUAUUUAAAAGAACACUCUCUGGAUUUCUCAUCUAAAAGAAAGAGGACUACUGUGAGUAGCUCACUGAAGUUGGGCAAUUCCACAUGAGAAAUUAAGAACAAAAUUCCUUGUUAGUUCACCAUACUCAUGAUCAUGAAUCAUGCUGCUGUUGAUGGUAUUAGAGGUCAUGAUCAUCAUUUUUUUAGUCAUGCAUCUCAAGUCAGCUUUGCUUUAUUUACCAUAACAAUUAAAUGGUGUUUUCUUCCAUCAACAAAAAAUAAAUAGAUGGUGCUUUGCUGCAUGCUUUUGCAUCUGUUACCAAGUUCAAGAAGCAUAUGUUUAUAAUUGAUUUCAAGUUAAAGAAGCAUAUGUUCGGAUGGAGUAGUUUGUUUCUGCUCUAAUAGAUUGUUUUUGCUAUUUUCCUCGUCAUCUCUAUUUCUUUGUGACGGCCUUAGGUAUUAGAGUAGUUCAGCAAGCAUAUGCAUUACAAUUUUCUUAUUGUACUAUCUAUUAAUCUUAUGUCCUGUAUUGCAGACUUGCAUUAUGAAGGCUGCACAGUUUGGACCUUGGUCAGAUCUUCCUACCGAACUCCUGGGCCUUGUCCUAAAGCGCCUCGAUUCCCUUGCUGACCGUGUUCGUCUGAGAGCAGUCUGUCACCCAUGGCGCUCUAAUAGUAUGUUGCAGAAUCUUCCCCUCCCAUUCCCUUGGCUCACCCUCACCAAUGGAACCUUCCUCAGCAUCCCAGGCAGUGAGGUUCACCGCAUGCCUCUACCAGAUGGUGCUCGUUGGCAGGGCUCCAUUGAUAACAGGCUAUUCCUCAUAAGCUGUGAUGGUGCGUGUUCAUUGCUGAACCCUUUUUCCAAGAGCACACUGGAGCUUCCUAAUCUUGCAAGUGUUUGGCAGCGCGAGAUAGAUAACCAUGCUGAAUAUACUGAUGAUCCAGUUUCCUAUAAGUUAGUGGCGCCCUCGCCGCUGGAAUCAUCACCCAAGUCCCUUGUUGCUGCGGUGAUCAUUGGCAAUUGUUAUUCUGUUGAUCUUUGUGUCGUUCGACCACCUGCCACCACUUACUCAUUCAGAGGUAUACGUACUGCACUGGGGGAGCCACCAACAUUAGUGGACCUUGCAUUCUUGGAUGGAAGGCUGUACGUGGUAUCUGGAUUUUUCAAGCUUUUCGUCGUUGAUUUUGGUGAGAACCUUGGUACUUAUCCAAAGAUGACAUGCGUAAUUGACUCUGGUGGUGAUUGUGGAACGCCUCAAUACCUGUCUAAGAAGGUGCUUUAUGGACUCAGCCAGUAUUUAGUGGAAUGUGGUGGUAGGCUGCUGAUGGUGCAAAGAUUUACACACUCACAGGGUUUUAGGAAUUCUCACACUGUUGGAUUUAAUGUCCUUGAGGCAGACUUGCGCACUGACCCUGGUCAGUGGAGAACGGUGAGUGAUUUGGGUGGCCAUGCUCUCUUUCUUGGAAAGCAAAGCUCGAAGUCCCUGCCUGCUGGAGAAUGCAGUGGAUCCCAGGAGGACUGCAUCUACUUCAUCUGCGAUUAUCCUUGUCCAGAGUCUUCUGCAGAACCUCUUCGUGACGCUGCCAUAUACAACGUGAGAAGUGGGAUUAUAAUGCCAUUGCAUUUAAGGAAUCCUGCAGUACUGCAACGCCAAGCUUGUCAGUGGGGCCUGACCUGGUUUUUUCUUUCUGAAGCUAUAUGAUCAACCCAGCAGGAUUUUUUAGUCUUUUGUGGUCAACCAACAUGCCUGGGUUCUGCUCAUCUUUAUCUUACUAAUAUGUUAUUGUGUGCACUUUUAAGUCACUUGGUGACAAUAAUGGGUUCAUGUAAUCGAAUGCUUAAACCUUUCGUUGUGGAAACUUUAUGUUUUAUCUGUGUGGCUAUGCUUUCAACUGACUUGGGAGUUAAUCAUAGCUCUGCACGUAUAUGUUUCUGCCAUGUAGAUAAUUGCUACUUCCUACAGGUGGUGAUUUUUUUCUCCAAAAAGUGGAUAGGCCCGGCCUCUCCAUUAUCAUGAUGCACACAACUGUAGUUUAUU
rnacentral:lncRNA from 1 species